GUGCUCACUUCAGCAGCACAUAUACUAAAAUUGGAACAAUACAGAGAAGAUUAACAUGGCCCCCGUGCAAGGAUGACACGCAAAUUCAUGAAGCGUUCCAUAUUUUU
rnacentral:snRNA from 1 species